AUGGCGGCGGCGGCGCGGGAUGGGGAAGCGAGGCGGGCGCACGCGGCGAUGGUGGGGUCGCAGUUCAUCAACGCGGGGUACCACGUCAUCGCGAAGCAGGCGCUCAACGUCGGCGUCAACCGCGUUGUCUUCUGCGUCUACCGCGACCUCCUCGCGCUCUGCGUGCUUGCUCCCAUCGCCUUCUUCCGCCACCGCGGCUCGCCCGCGCAGGCUCGUCCGCCGCCCGUCACGCGUCGCCUCCUUACCUCCUUCUUCUUCCUCGGGCUCACGGGCAUCUUUGGCAACCAGCUGCUGUUCUUGUUCGGCCUCGGCUACACCAAUCCGACAUACGCCGCCGCCAUUCAGCCAUCAAUUCCCGUCUUCACUUUCAUCUUGGCCCUCAUCAUGGGGACUGAAACGGCGAGCUUGGUCACACACGAGGGCCGUGCCAAGGUUGGUGGCACAAUCGUCUGUGUGCUUGGUGCUGUUCUCAUGGUGUUGUACAGGGGGGCAGCUGUGUUUGGUAGCAGCGAUCUAGAUCUUGAUGUUCCUCGUAAUGUCGUCAUCACUGAGAUGUUGCAACCUGAGCCAGGAUCAUCUUGGUUCAUUGCAUAUGGGCUGGAAAAGUGGCAUAUCGGAGUGCUAUGUUUAAUAGGGAACUGCCUCUGUAUGGCAACUUAUCUUGCUUUGCAGGCUCCAAUUUUGGUGAAGUACCCUUGCAGUUUGUCAUUGACAGCUUACUCAUACUUUUUUGGAGCUCUUUUAAUGCUUAUUUCCGGAGUUUUUUCAACAACCAGUAAAGAAGAUUGGACUUUGACUGCAUCUGAGUUUGCGGCUGUUGUAUAUGCUGGAGUUGUUUCAUCUGCUCUUAAUACUGGUUUAUUGACAUGGUCCAACAAAAUUCUGGGCCCAGCUAUGGUGGCACUAUAUAUGCCUCUCCAGCCAGUGCUCUCUGCUCUCUUGUCAGUGCUCUUUCUGGGCAGUCCAAUUUAUUUCGGAAGUAUUAUUGGAGGGUUUCUAAUCAUCUCUGGUUUAUACAUUGUCACCUGGGCACGACAUCGAGAAAAGUUGACUGCCACUGGAGUACCUUAUGUAAAAUGCGCAUCGGAGCCAUGUGACAGUGCUUCUCAAGUCAUAAAGGGCGGUAACUUGAGCCCCAGGCCCUUUAUAUCCCUUUCCAGGCUGUGGAAUGUGCCACAUGAAUCUUGA
rnacentral:rRNA from 1 species